AUGUCUAUUUAUUCAGGAGAAUUGCCAUUUCGGAAUAUUACCAUACUCCCUGCUAGCGCCCAGCCCGCCGGCGACUGGACCACUGCCGUGUUCAGUGUGGUCCCCGCUGCGCGCGGCUGCCCGCUCGGCCUGACCGGCCUUCCCGGGCCAGAGCCAGGGGCGCCUGGCUGCAUGUUUGCCAGAGCGGAGACGCAAAUGCGAGACCCUGAGACCAGGGGUGCACGGCCGGGCCGCUGGGCGUGGCCUGAAAGUAAGGUCCUCCACAGUGGACAGGGCAGUGAGGGCGAGCCCCGCCCCCUCGAGGCCCCCAGGGGCUCAGCCCCCACCCAGAGGGAAGGAAGAAUCUUCAGGAAGGCAAGAGGUGGGCACUGCCUUGUCUCUGCCUCUCUCUCUCUUAUACUGGGCAGAUUCAAGGCAUCAAGGUGGCCCCUGCCCCACACGCCCUGCCUCAGGCACCCACCUUCCCGCACACGUGGAGUUGUUCCUCCCUGCCCCAUCCUGGGACGUCCCAGUCUCCCCUACUUCCUCACCCCCACUGACGCUCACCCGUCCUGCUCAGGUGACUCUGGGGCGGCCCCUCCUCUCUCAGUGUCUUUUGUGCAGCUGAUCCUCCUGGGGAGGGGGCUGCUCUGCCCCACCAGGAAGUCCAGACCUCCCUUCCCACCCCCAAAUCAGAAGCAAAAGCUCCCUUCCCCGUCCGACCUUGACUUCUGGGAGGCGCUGACCCCGCCCAGGGCCAUGCACAUGCAGUGCCGCCUGUGGGUAUCAGGCAGUGGGCAUCCACACACAUCUUUUGCUGUGGGCUGGGCAUCGUUGCCCAUUUCCUGGCUGGCUCUGUCUCUUGGUUUGGGAGGUGGGGCUGCAGAAGGAGCGUGCCUCUCGGGUCCCCAGACAGAGGCUGCCAGCUUCACACCAAGGUCACGUCGCCCUUCCAAGAGAACCAGUUGGUGUCCUCACUCCUCGGAUGGUGCUCAGCCGCCAAGGGGGCCUUCUGCCGGGAACCGCUGGCCCGGCUGCCCUCAUCAGCCACGCCCACUGGACAGCUGGCCCCAGGCACUCAGCGCCCCUGCUAGGGACCAGUUCCGUUUUCUGGCCGAUUGCCUUCUUCCACUUGCAGGGUUCUGCGCUUCCCAGAGAGACGCCAGCGCCUGCCAGGGCUGUGGGUGCCGGCGCUGGCUCAGGGUUGUAAACCUGCUUUUCACCACGAGGCCAGCACUGCUCCCCAGAGGCCGCCGUUAG
rnacentral:lncRNA from 1 species